rnacentral:rRNA from 1 species
CAAGCGGUGGAGCAUGUGGUUUAAUUCGAUGCAACGCGAAGAACCUUACCUACUCUUGACAUCCACGGAAUUCUGCAGAGAUGCCUUAGUGCCUUCGGGAACCGUGAGACAGGUGCUGCAUGGCUGUCGUCAGCUCGUGUUGUGAAAUGUUGGGUUAAGUCCCGCAACGAGCGCAACCCUUAUCCUUUGUUGCCAGCGAUACGGUCGGGGACUCAAAGGAGACUGCCGGUGAUAAACCGGAGGAAGGUGGGGAUGACGUCAAGUCAUCAUGGCCCUUACGAAGAGGGGCUACACACGUGCUACAAUGGCGCAUACAAAGAGAAGCGACCUCGCGAGAGCAAGCGGACCUCACAAAGUGCGUCGUACUCCGGAUCGGAGUCUGCAACUCGACUCCGUGAAGUCGGAAUCGCUAGUAAUCGUGGAUCAGAAUGCCACGGUGAAUACGUUCCCGGGCCUUGUACACACC